UCCGAUAUGGUCUAGUGGCUAGGAUACCUGGCUCUCACCCAGGAGGCUCCGGUUCUAUUCCCGGUAUCGGAA
rnacentral:tRNA from 1 species